UCCCUGUAGUUUGAAUGUGAAAUGAAUUGGAGCAGCGUACAGGGCUCCUCUCCCCUCCCCUCCCCUCCUCUCCUCUCUCGCAAACAAUGCUUCUGCUUCUGCAGAGCAGACGAUCUUGAGGAUCAACCCUCUCGAAUCAAUACUUUUCCCUGCUAUGCUCUGCCUGUACAUUGAAAUGAAUUGGGGUUAUCCAGUUUGGGCUCUGAGGCAGGUGUUGGUUGAAGGCAGGGGCGGUGAUUCUCGGACAGCGGUUGUCAAUCCACCCGCUUCUCUCGAUGCUCUCGCCGCCGCUAUGUUGUGUUUUUCCAUACCCAAUCCAUCUUGUCCUUCCUUCUUCAAGCCCAAAUCUUCUAUCAACACGAAGCGCAGCAUCGGCUUCUCCAAGUUGGGCUCAUGACUUAGAGCUAACCCACUUUAAAGGGGGGUUGCUUUCCGACUUUAGGUGGAGAGGGAAAGUCGUGACAUUGGAGUCCGGCAGUUCCCGCAUUGUUGAAUGAUCAGGAAGCUGCUGCAGUGCAUACAGACUUGGGCGCAGCUAUUGACUUGAAGCUCCUGAGAAGAAGAAGAUUGAUUUUACGCUUAAUGAAUGUGGUGAAAGAUCACGAACAACUUGUGGACCAAUUUGCUAGUGCAGAUUACCCUCUUCGUAAAGUAUGGAAGUGGCUCAUGGCAUUCAAAUACAUCAUAUCAGAAAAUGCAGCUUCUGAAAGCUAGAAGAACAGCAGAAGUAAGUGCAACCCUCAUCCACAUCUCGGACCUUCUUACUUGUAGGUAUACAGCAAUUCCACCACUCUGUAAAAACAAGUGACAGCGUGUAAAAGAUGGGUGAUCUUUCCAUGACAUAAUAUAUAACCAAAAGUAUGUUUAUACUAAUAAUGGCAUGUUACUUAUAUUACCAUGUCUGGGGAGGGUGCUGGGGCUGUAUCCUCUUUGUCUUGCACUGCUGUUGGAGGGGCUGGGGGGCUUUUCGGGAGGGUCGGCGCUGGGGCAGGUGCAUGGUGAUGUCUUUUGUGUUUGUGCUUUC